UAAUAUCUUAAUUUUAAGCCCCGCACCUCAUAAAGCACCAUAAGUAAUAAAGCAUCAUAACAAUCAAUAAAUAAACUCACCAUACACUCUUAUUCCAUCUUGGCACACUAUAUUCUAUAUUCAGGUAUGCAGUUGUUACAGGAGCAAAUAAGGGAAUUGGGUAUGAAGUAGUGAGGCAAUUGGCUUUAAAUGGGGUCAUUACGGUACUAACAGCCAGAGAUGAGAAGGGGGGUCUUGAAGCUGUUGAAAAACUCAAACACUCUGGCUUUGAUAAUGUGAUCUUUCAUCAGCUUGAUGUUGCAGACCCUGCUGCUAUUCACUCUGUAGCUGAUUUCAUUCGAAGUCAUUUUGGAAAGCUUGAUAUUUUGGUAUGAUUGAGAAUCAGUUUUUUCUGUUGACGCAACUAGUUUGGCCGAUAAUACAACUGAGUGAUAAUUAGUUGGAUUUCUUGGCAGGUAAAUAAUGCAGGGAUUACUGGAAUCAGUUCGGAUGCUGAUACUUUGUCAGGUUUUAUUGAGGUACUUUUGAAUAAGAGCUUUUUUUCAUUGCCGUAAUCUGAGGCAGCUGAGUUUAAAACUAGAUGGGAUUACUAAAAAGUGAACAACAUGGGCGCCAGUCUGGCUCAAAAUUUACCAAAUAUAAGACCCUUUCCUUCUAUCUAAUCAACUAUAGGUUAGGAAGAUUUAUUAUAUUACAGAUGAACCACGGCACAACGAUCUUUUUUUUUUUUAAUUUUAUUGUGGCCUCAAUGAUGCAGGAAGGUGUUGCAAGAGGAAAAAUGACUCAAACUUAUGAGUCAGCUGAAAAGUGCCUGCAAACAAACUACUUGGGGGCCAAAAGAAUGUGUGAAGCACUCAUUCCUCUCCUCCAGUUAUCCGAUUCAGCAAGAAUUGUUAAUGUAUCCUCUUCCUUGGGAAAGUUGAUGGUAAAACAGUUUUACAGCCCUUUAUAAAAUUGAACUAGUUGACAUUCAGGUAGUAAUUAAGCCCAAUUUGGCCGCUAAAUUUUGCUUCCACUGCAUCUGAUAUUCCCUUAUAAUUACCUGUAGAUCGAUAUUGGAGUACUCCUUGUCUCAAAUUUUAAUUAUGAUUAAGUUCAUUGGAAUCAUGAAGGUUGAAAUUUCUGUUUCUCAUCAUUUUCUUUCAGUAUGUAACACAUGAAUGGGCCAAAGGAGUGUUUAGUGAUGCUGAGAACCUCACAGAAGAAAGAGUGGAUGAGGUAUUGAGCCAGUAUCUAAAUGAUUACAAAGAGGGUUCACCGGAAACUAAAGGAUGGCCUGCUAAUGCAGCUGCUUACAUACUAUCAAAAGCAGCUAUGAAUGCCUACACAAGGAUCCUGGCCAAGAAGUACCCAAAUUUUUGCAUCAAUUGUGUUUGCCCUGGCUAUGUUAAAACAGAAAUGACCUACAACGCUGGUAGAUUAACUGUAGAAGAAGGUGCCGAAUCUCCAGUUUGGUUGGCUCUGCUGCACAAGGGCGGUCCUUCUGGUCUAUUCUUUUCACGGAAAGAAGAGACCCUUUUUUGAUUGAAAAUGAUUCAUCGAUCACUGCAUACCGAUGUUGAAUUUACAUAUCUUUUGAUGUUGAAUUUGAAUAAGUGAAAUAUCAUCUUAUGCAAUUGAACCCUUUGUUAAAAGUAAUAGAUGAAUGGACUCAUCCAAAUACUUGAGUGCAGCUUCCUUCCUUGCCAUUAUUUUUAAACAAAGGUGUAAUUAAUUGUCUUCGAAGAAAACGAAAGCAACAUAAUUAUUCAUGAUCUCACCACGUGAAACGAUGUGAACAAAAAUAUCAGAAUAAUAUUAUUUUACUUUCCUGGAGAUCCAUGAUGGAGAUUGCGCAAUACAUAUACAUCUGAAGGGAGUAUUCUUCUAGCCAUGAAAAGGAGCAACCAAGUACAUUAUUCGAUGGGAGAAGCAACAACCAAGUACAUUAUUCCCCCUUCCUCUUCUUCUUUCAUUUUUUGUUUUUACUUCCUUUCGGACUCUCUCUCUCUGUUUUUUUUUUUUUUUCAAUAUGAAAUUUCUCAGCAGGCAUGCAGUUGUUACAGGAGCAAACAAGGGAAUUGGGUUUGAAAUUGUGAGGCAAUUAGCUUCCAUGGAGUCACUGUGGCCUUAACUGCUAGAGAUGAGAAGAGGGGUCUUGCAGCUGUUGAAAAACUCAAAAACUCUGGCUGUGACAAUGUGAUCUUUCAUCUGCUUGAUGUGACAGACCCCGCUAGCGUUGACUCUCUAGUUCAUUUCGUCAGUAGUCAGUUUGGGAAGCUUGAUAUUCUGGUAUGAUUUAUCCAAUAUCAGUUUCUUGAAAUGUUCGCAUAACACCAUAAAUCUUGAAAAUGUUCUUAUGGACUCAUUUAGUAGGCAGAUUGUGGAUUGUAGAGUAUCCAGAGCAUCACAAUUGUAGAAUCGAUUCUGAUGAUCAAAUUAAGAUGCUGUCGCAUAAGUAUUACGGUCUUGUUUAGAUUGAAAUCAAGUGGAUUCCAGGGCUCAAUAAGGUUGGCAAAUAGUAUCAACUGAUUGAGUUAGUUUUGUGGGUCAAUGACGAGUCUCCAAACUAUAACAAGUGAUAUUAGGGCAAUCCGGAACGCAUUUCUCCUGAAUUCUACAAGAAUAUGUUAGUUUUCCUGGUCAAAUAACUUCUUUUCGGUCUAUAUGUAAACUGAUUUAUUAUAAAUGUUGGACUUC
rnacentral:lncRNA from 1 species